rnacentral:rRNA from 1 species
GGUUAAGCGACUAAGCGUACACGGUGGAUGCCCUGGCAGUCAGAGGCGAUGAAGGACGUGCUAAUCUGCGAUAAGCGCCGGUAAGGUGAUAUGAACCGUUAUAACCGGCGAUUUCCGAAUGGGGAAACCCAGUGUGAUUCGUCACACUAUCAUUAACUGAAUCCAUAGGUUAAUGAGGCGAACCGGGGGAACUGAAACAUCUAAGUACCCCGAGGAAAAGAAAUCAACCGAGAUUCCCCCAGUAGCGGCGAGCGAACGGGGAGGAGCCCAGAGCCUGAAUCAGCAUGUGUGUUAGUGGAAGCGUCUGGAAAGGCGCGCGAUACAGGGUGACAGCCCCGUACACAAAAGCGCAUGUGCUGUGAGCUCGAUGAGUAGGGCGGGACACGUGGUAUCCUGUCUGAAUAUGGGGGGACCAUCCUCCAAGGCUAAAUACUCCUGACUGACCGAUAGUGAACCAGUACCGUGAGGGAAAGGCGAAAAGAACCCCGGCGAGGGGAGUGAAAAAGAACCUGAAACCGUGUACGUACAAGCAGUGGGAGCACAGGUUUACCUGUGUGACUGCGUACCUUUUGUAUAAUGGGUCAGCGACUUAUAUUCUGUAGCAAGGUUAACCGUAUAGGGGAGCCGGAGGGAAACCGAGUCUUAAUUGGGCGUUAAGUUGCAGGGUAUAGACCCGAAACCCGGUGAUCUAGCCAUGGGCAGGUUGAAGGUUGGGUAACACUAACUGGAGGACCGAACCGACUAAUGUUGAAAAAUUAGCGGAUGACCUGUGGCUGGGGGUGAAAGGCCAAUCAAACCGGGAGAUAGCUGGUUCUCCCCGAAAGCUAUUUAGGUAGCGCCUCGUGAAUUCAUCUCCGGGGGUAGAGCACUGUUUCGGCUAGGGGGCCAUCCCGGCUUACCAACCCGAUGCAAACUGCGAAUACCGGAGAAUGUUAUCACGGGAGACACACGGCGGGUGCUAACGUCCGUCGUGAAGAGGGAAACAACCCAGACCGCCAGCUAAGGUCCCAAAGUCAUGGUUAAGUGGGAAACGAUGUGGGAAGGCCCAGACAGCCAGGAUGUUGGCUUAGAAGCAGCCAUCAUUUAAAGAAAGCGUAAUAGCUCACUGGUCGAGUCGGCCUGCGCGGAAGAUGUAACGGGGCUAAACCAUGCACCGAAGCUGCGGCAGCGAACGUAUCACCCAAGACAACUUUACGGAGUUGACGAUUGACGGAGCGAAGCGACGUCAAAGCGUUCAUUAAAGUCGAGUUGGCUUAGGGAUACGUUCGUUGGGUAGGGGAGCGUUCUGUAAGCCUGUGAAGGUGUGUCGUGAGGCAUGCUGGAGGUAUCAGAAGUGCGAAUGCUGACAUAAGUAACGAUAAAGCGGGUGAAAAGCCCGCUCGCCGGAAGACCAAGGGUUCCUGUCCAACGUUAAUCGGGGCAGGGUGAGUCGACCCCUAAGGCGAGGCCGAAAGGCGUAGUCGAUGGGAAACGGGUUAAUAUUCCCGUACUUGGUGUUACUGCGAAGGGGGGACGGAGAAGGCUAUGUUGGCCGGGCGACGGUUGUCCCGGUUUAAGCGUGUAGGUGUGUGUUCCAGGUAAAUCCGGUUCACUUUAACACUGAGGCGUGACGACGAGGCACUACGGUGCUGAAGCAACAAAUGCCCUGCUUCCAGGAAAAGCCUCUAAGCAUCAGGUAACACGAAAUCGUACCCCAAACCGACACAGGUGGUCAGGUAGAGAAUACCAAGGCGCUUGAGAGAACUCGGGUGAAGGAACUAGGCAAAAUGGUGCCGUAACUUCGGGAGAAGGCACGCUGACACGUAGGUGAAGUGAUUUACUCAUGGAGCUGAAGUCAGUCGAAGAUACCAGCUGGCUGCAACUGUUUAUUAAAAACACAGCACUGUGCAAACACGAAAGUGGACGUAUACGGUGUGACGCCUGCCCGGUGCCGGAAGGUUAAUUGAUGGGGUCAGCGUAAGCGAAGCUCCUGAUCGAAGCCCCGGUAAACGGCGGCCGUAACUAUAACGGUC